AGGUUUGGGAGGCCUAGGCGGGCAGAUCACAAGGUCAGGAGUUCAAGACCAGCCUGGCCAACACAGUGAAACUUCGUCUAUACUAAAAAUACAAAAAUUAUGCCAUGGAAUACUAUGCAGCCAUAAAAAAGGAUGAGUUCAUGUCCUUUACAGGGACAUGGAUGAAGCUGGAAACCAUCAUUCUCAGCAAACUAACACAAGAACAGAAAACCAAACACCGCAUGUUCUCACUCAUAAAUGGGAGUUGAACAAUGAGAACACAUGGACACCAAGAGGGGAACAUCACACACCAGGGCCUGUCAGGGGGUUGGGGGCUAAGGGAGGGAUAGCGUUAGGAGAAAUAUCUAAUGUAGAUGAUGGGUUGAUGGGUGCAGCAAACCACCAUGACACGUGUAUACCUAUGUAACAAACCUGCACGUUCUGCACAUGUACCCCAGAACUUAAAGUAUAAUAUAAAAUAUAUAUAUACAAAAAUUAGCCAGGCAUGGUGGCAGAUGCCUGUAAUCCCAGUUACUUGGGAGGCUGAGGCAGGAGAAUCGCUUGAACCGGGGAGGCAGAGGUUGCAGUGAGCCAAGUUCAUGCCACUGCAUUCCAGCCUGAGCGACAAAGGUAGACUCUGUCUCAAAAAAUAAAUAAAUAAAUAAAAUAAAGUGCCCACAAGGACUUGUGCAAAUCCUCUAACAUGCCUGCCUCAAUUUCCUUAUCUAUAAAAUGGGGAUUAAUAAUAUGUAUGUCUACAGUGUUUCAAGGAUCACAUAAAGUGAUACAGCAUUUUUCACCAUUAAAGAAUACAUACUUGGGACCGGGCGCGGUGGCUCAUGCCUGUAAUCCCAGCACUUUGGGAGGCUGAGGCAGGCGGAUCACAAGGUCAGGAGAUCGAGACCAUCCUGGCUAGCACGAUGAAACCCCGUCUCUACUAAAAAUAUAAAAAUUAGCCGGGCGUGGUGGCGGGUGCCUGUAGUCCCAGCUACUCGGGAGGCUGAGGCAGGAGAAUGUCGUGAACCCGGGAGGCGGAGCUUGCAGGGAGCCGAGAUUGAGCCAUAGCACUCCAGCCUGGGCGACACGGCGAGACUCUAUCUCAAAAAAAAAAAAAAAAAAAAAAAAAAAAGAAUACAUACUCAGCCAGCCGUGGUGGCUCACGCCUGUAAUCCCAGCACUUUGGGAGGCCUAGGUGGGUGGAUCAUGAGAUCAGGAGAUUGAGACCAUCCUGGCUAACAUGGUGAAACCCUGUCUCUACUAAAAAUACAAAAAAUUAGCCGGGCGUGGUGGCGGGUGCCUGUAGUCCCAGCUACUCGGGAGGCUGAGGCAGGAGAAUGGUGUGAACCCAGGAGGCAGAGCUUGCAGUGAGCCGAGAUCAUGCCACUGCACUCCAGCCUGGGCAACAGAGCAAGACUCCAUCCUAAAAAAAAAAAAAAAAAUACAUACCCUGAGAAAUACUAUGUCAGCUCCAUAUCAUCAUUUAAGCCUCCCUCUUUCAAAAAAUCUCACCUGCAUGCUUUCAUUUAUUCAUCAUUUCAUACAUUUAUUGAGCAUCUACUAUAACCUACUCACUGUUCUAAACACUGAGAAUACAGCAGUGAACCAAACAAGCAACACCUUCACCCCCAUGAAGUUUACAUUCCAAUAAGGAGAAAACAGAUGCCAAUCACAUAAACUAGUUAUGUAACUAGGAUAAUUUCAGGUAAUAACACAACCAGAUCAUAUACAGCCUUUUUUAUUAUAGUGACACAAGUGGAUUUUAUUAUGAGAACAGUAGGAAACAAUGGAGAGGGGUUUUCUGGGGUUUUGUUUGUUUUGUUUUUUGGGACGGAGUCUCACUCUGUGGCCCAGGCUGGAGUGCAAUGGCACAACCUCAGGUCACUGCAACCUCCGCCUCCUGGGUUCAAGCGAUUCUCCUGCCUCAGUCUCUUGAGUAGCUGGGAUUACAGGUGCCCACCACCAUGCCCGGCUAAUUUUUGUAUUUUUAGUAGAGACGGGGUUUCGCCAUGUUGGCCAGGUGAUCCUCCUGCUUCGGCCUCCCAAGUGCUGGGAUUACAGGCGUGAGUCACGGCACCCAGCCAAUGGAGAGGUUUUUUUUUUUUUUGUCUUUUUUUGUUUGUUUGUUUGUUUUUGAGACGGAGUCUGGCUCUGUGCCCAGGCUGGAGUACAAUGGCGCAAUCUUGGCUCACUACAAUCUCUGCCUCCUGGGUUCAAGUGAUUCUCCUGCCCCAGCCUCCCGAGGAGCUGGGACUACAGGCACGUGCCACCAUGCCCAGUUAAUUUUUGUGUUUGUGUGUUUGUUUGUUUUGAGACGGAGCCUCACACUGUCGCCCAGGCUGGAGUGCAGUGGCGCAAUCUCCACUCACUGCAACCUCCACCUCCUGGGUUCAACUGAGUCUCCUGCCUCAGCCUCCCGAGUAGCUGGGAUUAGAGGCAUGAGCCACCAUGCCCGGCUAAUUUUUUGUAUUUUUAGUAGAGACAAGGUUUCACCAUAUUGGCCAGGCUGGUCUCGAACUCCUGACCUCAUGAUCUGCCUGCCUCGGCCUCCCAAAGUGCUGGGAUUAUAGGCAUGAGCCCCUGCGCCCGGCCUGUAUUUUUUUUUUUUUUUUUUUUUUUAAGUAGAGACAGGGUUUCACCAUUUUGGCCAGGAUGGUUUCAAUCUCUUGACCUCAUGAUCCGCCCGCCUCAGCCUCCCAAAGUGCUGGGAUUACAGGCGUGAGCCACUGCGCCCGGCCCAAUGAAGAGUUUUAAGCAGGGAAAUGACAAUUCACAAUUUCAGGUCCCUCUGUAUCUCAAUAAAGCCAUUUUUUUUUUUUUUUUUUUUUUUGAGACGGAGUCUCGCUCUGUCGCCCAGGCCGGACUGCGGACUGCAGUGGCGCAAUCUCGGCUCACUGCAAGCUCCGCUUCCCGGGUUCACGCCAUUCUCCUGCCUCAGCCUCCCCAGUAGCUGGGACUACAGGCGCCCGCCACCGCGCCUGGCUAAUUUUUUGUAUUUUUAGUAGAGACGGGGUUUCACCGUGUUAGCCAGGAUGGUCUCGAUCUCCUGACCUCAUGAUCCACCCGCCUCGGCCUCCCAAAGUGCUGGGACUACAGGCGUGAGCCACCGCGCCCGGCCAAAGCCAUUUUUUUUAAAGGCCCCUCUGGCUGUUCAUGGGGAAGGGGUCGUGGAAGGCCAGCAUUGCUUGUGAUAAUGGUGCCACUCCCCCGCCAUUGAACCAUCAUGUGCUAUCUAUCGACAUCUGCUUGUUUGUAUUCUUUUUUAUAAGCUGCCUGAAACCUUUGCCACCUGCAUUUGACCUGUCUCUGCCAAUUAACUGUAAACUUGAGGGUCAGGAAAACCAGACAGUCUUCUCUACAGAAUUUGAGAGCACAAUUUGUGUAAAUAGGAACUUUUUUUUUUUUCUGAGACAGGGUCUCACACUGUCGCCCAGGCUGGAGUGCAGUGGUGAGAUCACAGCUCACUGCAGCCUCAUCUUCCUGGGCUGAAGCAACUCUCCCACCUCAGCCUCCCAAUUAGCUGAAACCCCAGGAACGUGCCACCACACCUGUCUAAUAUUUAAAAUUUUUUUGUAGAAAUGGGGUCUUGUUAUGUUGCCCAGGCUUACAAAAGGAACUUGAUUCAUGGUGGUAGGUGAUGAUGUACAGUUUUUUUUUCUUUUUUUAGAGACAGGGUCUGGCUGUGUUGCCCAGGCUGGAGAGCAGUGGCACCGUCAUAGCUCACUAUAAACUCAAGCAAUCCUCCUGCCUCGCCUUGGUCUCCCAAAGUGCUGAGAUUACAGGUGUGAGUCACUGCGCCUGGCCUGAUAUGCAGUUUUAACGAGAAGAAACUACCUAGAGCUGGGCAUGAUGGCUCACAACUGUAAUCCCAGCACUUUGGGAGGCCAAGGUAGGCAGAUCGCUUAGAGCUGUAAACGCUGAGAAUACAGCAGUGAACCAAACAGGCAACACCUUUGCACCCAUGAAGUUUAUAUUCCUCUAAAGAGCAAAUAGAUGCCAAUCAAGUAAACAAGUUAUAUAACCAAGAUAAUUUCAGGUAAUAAAACCAGAUCAUAUACAGCUGUUUUCCUUAUAGUGCCACAAUUGGAUUUUAUUACGAGAAUAAAAUCCAAUUGUUUCAGCCUGGGUAAUGUGAUGAGACUCCAUCUCUACUACAAAUACAAAAAAAUUUAGCCAGGCAUGGUGGCUUGUGCCUGUAAUCCCAGCUACUCAGGAGGCUGAGAUGGGAGGAUCACUUGAGCCUGGGAAGUGGAGUUUGCAGUGAGACAAGAUUGCACAACUGCACUCCAGCCUGGAUGACAGAGCAAGACCCUGUCUCAAAAAACAAGAAGAAAACGACCUAGUCCAAAUAACUUGGGUUGUGGUCAUUAAGAGGAGGAGCAAACGACAGUACUUUGCUUCUGGGACCUCAACUUUCCCAUCUGAAAAAUGGGACUAAUUCCUAUCUCCACUCCACUACAAAAACAAGGCUUUAUAUUGACAGAAAAACAUGCAUAUGGAAGAUCAUGCCGCCUUGGUAAGCCAGGCCUUGGCAGCCAGUUAGUGGUGUGUGGUUGCCCUGAAGCCUGGUUGGGGCUCAACAGAUGAAACGAAAACACCAGGCGCCCUUUCUAACCCUCUUCCCUCCUGCCCUCUCAGUUGGAAGGGUGUUUGGAUUGUUUUUCUGAAUUUGAAAUGUUUCCUUUUGUUCCAGGAGAGAAGACCGCUAACCAGGUUGACAUAUUCCUCUUCCCUGAGGGGCACAUUUUGGAAACUGUCUGAGGUCGCAGGCUUGUUGCCACUGAGUAGCUGGGCAACAUUCCUCCCCUGGCCUGUCUAUUUUAAGCCACGCAGAUAACUAGGGAGGCGGGGGCAAGACAACAAAGGCUGAACAGUGGGUGAAGGACAUCUGGCAGGAAGGGCUGGCAGCAGGCAGAUGGGUUUUCAAUGGCAUGGAUGGGCUCCCACUGUGUAGAGCCUGGGAGGGCGAGGAACGGGCUCUCGGACCAUGGCAGCCCCCAUGUGAGGGGAAGGGAGGUGGCAGGCACGUUGAUCAAGGCAUCUCCCCCCACUUAUUCAUUCAUUCAUUCAGCAAAUAUUGGCCUCCUCAAACCUGCAGGUUGUUUUUCGUCGGUUCUGGACCAUUCUCAGCCAUUAGCGAUUCAGAGAGUUCUCAUGCCAUUCUCUCUUGCCUCUCUGUCUGCAACUCCAAACAAAUGUAUGACAACAUUUCUCAAAGAACCUUCCAACUCUCUUCUUCUCCCUUUGGUAUUUUCUUUUUGUCUCUCUGUGUUACAUUCUGGAUAACUUUUGUUUUUUUUUUUUUUU
rnacentral:lncRNA from 1 species